CACAAGUAUGCUGGAGCUGAGCAUGAGGGUAUCCAUCCAGCUGUACUGUAAAGCCAUUGCUGCAGUGCUCCUAGAAAUGGUUCAGGAUACCUAGAGACAAAUGAUAUGGAAAAAGGCCUCCAUGACAGGUCCCUACUGGCACUGACUGUACAAGCAGGAGGACACCUAGGCAGAAGACGUCUCCUUCUUCCUCCCUCCCUCCCAGGAGUUGCUCUCCAGUCACCUCUGCAAGCCUGUGUAUUACCUAUGUUUCUGAAAGGAAGAGUUGACAGAGUAUUUAAUUUUGAAUUUUGAAAAAAACAAAUUGUUUCACUUAAAAUCUGAUUGCCCUGC
rnacentral:lncRNA from 1 species